AUUGAACGCUGGCGGCAGGCCUAACACAUGCAAGUCGAGCGAGAGGCGGACGGGUGAGUAAUGUCUGGGAAACUGCCUGAUGGAGGGGGAUAACUACUGGAAACGGUAGCUAAUACCGCAUACCAUCAGAUGGGCCAAGAUGGGAUUAGCUAGUAGUUGGGGUAACGGCGAACCUAGGCGACGAUCCCUAGCUGGUCUGAGAGGAUGACCAGCCCCCCUGGAACUGAGACACGGUCCAGACUCCUACGGGAGGCAGCAGUGGGGAAUAUUGCACAAUUGGCGCAAGCCUGAUACAGCCAUGCCGCGUGUGUGAAGAAGGCCUUCGGGUUGUAAAGCACUUUCAGCGGGGAGGCGUUACCCGCAGAAGAAGCACCGGCUAACUCCGUGCCAGCAGCCGCGGUAAUUC
rnacentral:rRNA from 1 species